rnacentral:rRNA from 1 species
AGCUUCAGUAGCGUAUAUUAAAGUUGUUGCAGUUAAAAAGCUCGUAGUCGCAUUUCUGGCGAGAGGAUCCGGUCCGACCUUUUGGUGGGUUCUUGGGUCUCUUUCGCCAUCCUUGAGUGGUCCGUUCUGGCAUUAGGUUGUCGGAGCGUCAGCCGCUCAUCGUUUACUGUGAGAAAAUUAGAGUGUUCAAAGCAGGCUUAUGCCGUUGAAUAUAUUAGCAUGGAAUAAUAAGAUAGGACCUCGGUACUAUGUUGUUGGUUUGCGCACCAAGGUAAUGAUGAACAGGGACAGUUGGGGGUAUUUGUAUUUCGUUGUCAGAGGUGAAAUUCUUAGAUUUACGAAAGACAAACUACUGCGAAAGCAUUUACCAAGGAUGUUUGCA